CCUACGGGAGGCAGCAGGAGGGAAUAUUGCUCAAUGGGGGAAACCCGGAAGCAGCAACGCCGCGGGGAGGAUGAAGGUGGUCGGAGGGUAAACGCCUGUAGGUAGAGAAGAGAAUGACGGUAUCUAACGAAUAAGCACCGGCUAACGCCGUGCCAGCAGCCGCGGUAAUACGGAGGGUGCAAGCGUUACUCGGAAUCACUGGGCGUAAAGAGCGCGGAGGCGGGAUAGCAAGUCAGAUGUGAAAUCCUAUGGCUUAACCAUAGAACUGCAUUUGAAACUGUUAUUCUAGAGGAUUGGAGAGGUAGGUGGCAUUCUUGGUGUAGGGGUCAACUCCGU
rnacentral:rRNA from 1 species